rnacentral:misc_RNA from 1 species
UCUCCGUUGGUGAACCAGCGGAGGGAUCAUUAUAGAGUUUUAUAACUCCCAACCCUUUGUGAACUUACCUUUGUUGCCUCGGCGGGGCCUACCCGGUACCGACCCCUUUUGGGCGAAGUUACCCUGUAGCCCGCCGGUGGACUACCAAACUCUUGUUUUAAUAUGGUUAUUCUGAGUUAUUACUAUAAUAAGUUAAAACUUUCAACAACGGAUCUCUUGGUUCUGGCAUCGAUGAAGAACGCAGC